AAGGUGGGAUGACGUCAAGUCCUCUAUGGCCCUUAUGGGUAGGGCUUCACACGUCAUACAAUGGUCGGUACAGAGGGUUGCCAACCCGCGAGGGGAGCUAAUCCCACAAAGCCGAUCGUAGUCCGGAUCGCAGUCUGCAACUCGACUGCGUGAAGUCGGAAUCGCUAGUAAUCGUGGAUCAGCAUGUCACGGUGAAUUACCGGUUCCCGGGUUCUU
rnacentral:rRNA from 1 species